ensembl:lncRNA
CAAACGACAACAAGAUUCUCAGAGGGCGGAGCCAGAGAGCAGUGAUUGGUCAAACCAUAGAUAAUAUAGAAGGCAGCGCGCUAGCGUAUCUAGUCUAUGUAUAUCUAUGGUCGGCACGUCUGGUAGCAUCUCUGGCUGCUGUUGACCUUGUUUUUGGAGUAAAACACGGUGGAAGCUGAAUUAGUGAGGAUGACUCCUGUUCCUGUCAUCUCUAAGCUCCUCACACAUCUUUACCUGCACAUGAGGAAAAUCACUCCUGUAGAAUGCAGAUGUUCAGAGGGAGAUGAUGCCACAUCUGGUCCAGCUGAUGGAAGGUCUUGAAGUUCUCUGACUGGCCUGGACUGAAGAUGGUCGUCUCACUGGAUUUAAGGUUCAGAUGCUCAGUAACAAACUCCACCAAUGAGCCAACAGGGAAGCUUUAGGUUUAUUAAAUGUUGCUAUGAAGGUUUCGCUGUUUUUCUUUGUGAAUGCAAUGUGCUCCAACUGAAACUUGAAGUAGAACUUAGAAGUAAAUCCUUCCAUCUGAAAGGAUUUAGUUGCAUUGAUAACCUCAUAACAUUCUAAUUUUUAUUCCAGUCUUGGUUGGAAAUAGAAUCUCUGUAUUGAUUUAGGUAAAAACUGAACUUCACAGCAUGUUGAAGCAAAACAACCAGAUGAAAACUGUGAUGGUGUUGGAUUGUCAGACCGUAAUGUUGCAGCUCAAAGCAGCUUUUCUAUCUCAGUUCAUUCUGACAUUCAGCUAUGAAUCAACACAGCAGAUGGUGAUCCAUGCUGUGGAAGUCUCACAUCUCCUGAUUUAAUGGAGCUGCUUUGCACUUUUUACACUGUUUAUUCACCAACACUUUAUUUAAUAAAAGUCCCAUCUAGUUUUCAUGAGGAAUGUGAUGUUUUAAUUUCUCUGUGAAUAACUGCAGUCUAAUGCAACAGCUGGAGUUGUAACAUCUGUCCUGAUAUUGAUCAUGAAGUAUUGAUCAGAAUACUUAUGGUUAGCAGUCAUUCCUGAAGUUUUACAUUAAAAUCUUUACUUGUGUUGUGAACUUUGGUGAGAAGCAGAAACUUUAGCGUUGCCAUGGAUACAUGAGUGUUAAAUUCUGUCCAUGUUUCCAUUUUGGGAAAUGCAGUCCAGUUCCAGAAUGUGGAGGAAUUUAGUCUCACAAUCACAGACAACAAAUAUUAUCUGAAAGUUGGGUUAUUGUUGUUUAUCAGCACAAUACAAAAAGAUUAAUUUUAGAAAUUUCCAGUUAAGACUCUAGAAUAUCAUGAUUUAUGUAAAUUUAACUCAAUAAUAUGAAUGUUCAGGUUAAGAUUGUACAGUGAUAUUUAUUAUGUAAGUUUAGCUGAUUAAAGUUUAUGACUGCACAAAAAUAUUAUUUAAAUUUACAUCAUUAUUAUAAUAUUUAGGGUCAGACCCUACAGUAUUGAGAUUAAGAAAUCAAAUAUUCUAUAAAAUGUAAAUACACUGAACUCAUUUGGAUAUAUUUAAGUGAGACUCUACAAUAUUAUUUGACACAAAUCUAUCUAAAUCAAAAUUUUAGUUAUUUUUAUUCCAAACAUUUACUGGACUGAUUUAAAUAUUAAAAUCACUCCUUUCUAAUCCUCUGCUGUACGUUCAAACCUGAGGCCUUAAAUAGAAACACACAAGUAUCUGAUUGAAGGAACUUCUGCAGAGUCCUGGUUCCAGAACAUGAUGAUAGAAUUAUAAACAAACUUUAACAAAAGCUGCCUGAGAGUUUACAGGUUUUUAUGUUAGAUUUCUUCAGUAAUUUAAUGAGCGUUAUCAGCAAAAAUCAAGUGUUCAUUUGAUGAACUUCAUUUCCUAAAACAUCCAGAAUUGGAGCUCAUAUCUUUGGCAGCUGUAAAGUUUCUGCUCCUUCAAAGUUCACAACACAAUGAAUGAAUUCCUAAAACACUCUCAAUGCUGGAGAGCAUUUGUGAUGCUGAAGCAGUGACCAGUUUUUCUGUUUCUUCUCUGGAGAUGCACAAUGAGGGACGUCUGCAGAGACUGAGAAAGAGUCUCACCACAUCCUGACAUGAGGAAAAAGACUUUAUUGAAGACUACAAUGAGAAAAACUAUCAGAUAGCAGACGGCUGCAUUCAAGUUUAGGCUGUUAGAUUGUUCCAGAUAAGACAAGUACAAGAUUCUUCAGAGCCGUUCUACCACGAGCCUGACAGGAAGAACUCCAACAGCUACUGAAUGUUCCUGUGGUUCCCUCAAGGCUACAGGAGGAGCCCUAUGAGGACGAGCCGGUCCACCUGAUGGAGGCCAGUCGCUGUGGUUCAAAGCCAACACCGACUACGUGGACUUCUACUGGACCACAUGGAGGCCUUCAAACCGGACCAACAAGUUCAGCGACUCCCCGACUCGUGGGUCUGAGGACGCCGCCGAGCCUCGGUCCAGCCGGCCUCCUGUCUGUGGGAUGUUUGAGUGCUGAGAGGUUUUUGGAUGGAUGUGAACAUGUCUGUGUUUAAACAGCAGCUUUGGACUCAGUAACGCUGGGAAAAACCAAGAGCUCCUUUAUUUGUGACUUCCACUAAAAAAAAGAUGAAAAUAACCUUUUAAACCUUUUAGGUAAAUGUUCCAGGAUGUUGGGUAGAAUAUACCAUCAGAUCAACCUUUUAGGUCUACAUUGGAAGAUUUUAGAGUAGAAUAUUACUCCAAACCAUCCUUUAGGUCUACAUUUAAGGUGGAAUACUACUUUACACCAAGAUUUUUUUGGUCUACAUUGAAGGAUUUUAGGUGGAAUAUUCCUUUGAACGAACUUUUUAAAUUUAUGUUCAAGGAUGUUGGGUGGAAUAUACCAUCAGACCAACCUCCAAGGUCUAUAGUAGUGAAUUUUGGGUGGAAUAUACCAUUAAACUCACCUUUUA